rnacentral:rRNA from 1 species
CACGUAGGAGGCGAGCGUUAUCCGGAUUUACUGGGCGUAAAGCGCGUGUAGGCGGUUCGGUAAGUUGGAUGUGAAAUCUCCUGGCUCAACUAGGAGAGGUCGUUCAAUACUGCCAGACUAGAGGACGGUAGAGGAAGGUAGAAUUCCCGGUGUAGUGGUGAAAUGCGUAGAUAUCGGGAGGAACACCCAGGGGGAAACCAGCGGACUGGGCAUCGGCUGACGCUCAGGUGCGACAGCGUGGGGAGCGAACCGG